UGUAUUACAUGUUAUGUGUAUGCCAUUGUAAUCUCAAGUUUAAUUUUUCCUUUUCUCUACCUAAAAAUGGGAGAUGUUCAAAUCACUAGAGAUUAAAAGAGUGCCCUCCAAAAUAUGUGAAACUUGAAGGAAUUAGGUUAGAAAAUAUCUUUUAAAAAAUAGAAGUGACACCUCCACUCUGUGGAGACCUACAUGGAACAAGAGAACUGAAGAACUACCUAGUUGGUCCUGCUCAUUCUCAUCUACAAGUUCUCAGCACAAACAGCAUUGCUUUAGAGGUUCUCCAGAAAAAUAAAAUCCAUAAGAAAAUUAACGGAAACACAGAGAUAAAGACAGAGAGAUAUAAUUUAUCAAAAAGAAUUGGCUCACAUGAUUAUGG
rnacentral:lncRNA from 1 species